rnacentral:rRNA from 1 species
AUUGAACGCUGGCGGAAUGCUUUACACAUGCAAGUCGAACGAUGGACCUUAGCUUGCUAAGGGGAUUAGUGGCGAACGGGUGAGUAAUGUAUCGGAACGUAUCCAAUAAUGGGGGAUAACUAGUCGAAAGAUUAGCUAAUACCGCAUACGUCCUACGGGAGAAAGCUAGGGACCUUCGGGCCUGGCGUUAAUGGAGCGGCCGAUAUCUGAUUAGCUAGUUGGUGGGGUAAAGGCUCACCAAGGCGACGAUCAGUAGCUGGUCUGAGAGGACGACCAGCCACACUGGAACUGAGACACGGUCCAGACUCCUACGGGAGGCAGCCGUGGGGAAUUUUGGACAAUGGGCGAAAGCCUGAUCCAGCCAUUCCGCGUGAGUGAAGAAGGCCUUCGGGUUGUAAAGCUCUUUCGCAAGGGAAGAAAACUUAAGCUCUAACAUAGCUUGAGGUUGACGGUACCUUGAUAAGAAGCACCGGCUAACUACGUGCCAGCAGCCGCAGUAA